GACAGAGGGUGCAAACGUUGCUCGGAAUCACUGGGCGUAAAGGGCGUGUAGGCGGGAGGGAAAGUCAGAUGUGAAAUCCCCAGGCUCAACCUGGGAACUGCAUUUGAAACUCCCCUUCCUUGAGUAUCGGAGAGGAAAGCGGAAUUCCUGGUGUAGAGGUGAAAUUCGUAGAUAUCAGGAGGAACACCAGUGGCGAAGGCGGCUUUCUGGACGAUUACUGACGCUGAGACGCGAAAGCGUGGGGAGCAAACAGG
rnacentral:rRNA from 1 species